rnacentral:rRNA from 1 species
UACGUAGGGGGCUAGCGUUGUCCGGAAUCAUUGGGCGUAAAGCGCGCGUAGGCGGCCAGAUAAGUCCGGUGUGAAAGUCACAGGCUCAACCUGUGAAUGCCGCUGGAAACUGUCUGGCUAGAGUCCGGAAGGGGCGAGUGGAAUUCCUGGUGUAGCGGUGGAAUGCGUAGAUAUUCGCAAGAACACCAGUGGCGAAGGCGGCUCACUGGCCCGGUACUGACGCUGAGGUGCGAAAGCGUGGGGAGCAAACAGG